rfam:Homo sapiens chromosome 1, GRCh38 reference primary assembly.
GCCGGGUGUGGUGGCUCAUGCCUGUAAUCCCAGCACUUUGGGAGGCCAGGGCGGGUGAAUCACCUGAGGUCAGGAGUUCAAGACCAGCCUGACCAACAUGGUGAAACCCCGUCCCUU